rnacentral:rRNA from 1 species
AUACGGAGGGCGCAAGCGUUAUCCGGAUUCAUUGGGUUUAAAGGGUGCGCAGGCGGAAUGAUAAGUCAGUGGUGAAAUCCUACAGCUUAGCUGUAGAACUGCCAUUGAUACUGUCAUUCUUGAGUACACUUGAAGUGGGCGGAAUGUAUCAUGUAGCGGUGAAAUGCAUAGAUAUGAUACAGAACUCCGAUAGCGAAGGCAGCUCACUAAAUUGUAACUGACGCUCAGGCACGAAAGCGUGGGGAGCAAACAGGAUUAGAAACCCUAGUAGUCC